GGGCCUGUAGCUCAGUUGGGAGAGCGUCUGACUGGCAGUCAGAAGGUCAGGGGUUCGAUUCCCCUCAGGUCCACCA
rnacentral:tRNA from 1 species